GAUUUUAACCCCUUAGUGACCAGACCGUUUUUCAAUUUUCUUACCGUUAAGGACCAGGGCUGUUUUUACAUUUCUGCGGUGUUUGUGUUUAGCUGUAAUUUUCCUCUUCCUCAUUUACUGUACCCCUACAUAUUAUAUACAGUUUUUCUCGCCAUUAAAUGGUCUUUCUAAAGAUACCAUUAUUUUCAUCAUAUCAUAUAAUUUACUAUAAAAAAUUAUAAAAUAUGAUGAAAAAAACCCCACAACUUUUCUUACUUUGACCCCAAAAAUCUGUUACGCAUCUACAACCGCAAAAAUACGCCAAUGCUAAAUAGUUUCUACAUUUUGUCCUGAGUUUAGAAAUACCCAAUGUUAACAUGUUCUUAGCUUUUUUGCAAGUUAUAGGGCAAUAAGUACAAGUAGCACUUUGCUACUUCCAAACCAUUUUUUUUUUAAAUUAACAAAGGUUACAUUGCAACCCUGAUAUCUGUCAGGAAUCCCUGAAUAACCC